rnacentral:lncRNA from 1 species
GGUGGGCACCUGGGGGCUGCGGCGAGUGGCGAUGGGCGAGCCGGACUUGCACGUGGAGAAAGCGCGAACAGUCAGCUUCAACAAGCAGCAGGUUUGAUCAACCAUUCUUCUCAGAGCAAGAAACCUACCAUACUGCAUUUCUUCCUGCUAUCAUGUGAAGAAGAACGUGUUUGCUUCCCCUUCUACCAUGAUUGUAAGUUUCCUGAGGCCUCCCCAGCCUAGCAGAACUCACGUGAGGACACAAGAAGAAGGCAUCUGUUUACACACCAGGAGGAGAGACCUCACAAGAACCCAAUCAUGAUGGCACUUUGAUCUUAGACCGCCAGCCUCCAGAACAGUGAGAAAAUAAAUUUCUGUUGUUUAUGC